rnacentral:rRNA from 1 species
UACGAAGGGUGCAAGCGUUACUCGGAAUUACUGGGCGUAAAGCGUGCGUAGGUGGUUCGUUAAGUCCGAUGUGAAAGCCCCGGGCUCAACCUGGGAAUGGCAUUGGAAACUGGCGACCUAGAGUGCGGUAGAGGGUAGUGGAAUUCCCGGUGUAGCAGUGAAAUGCGUAGAGAUCGGGAGGAACAUCCGUGGCGAAGGCGACUACCUGGACCAGCACUGACACUGAGGCACGAAAGCGUGGGGAGCAAAC